rnacentral:rRNA from 1 species
UAAGGAAUAUUGGACAAUGGAGGCAACUCUGAUCCAGCCAUGCCGCGUGAAGGAAUAAGGCCCUAUGGGUUGUAAACUUCUUUUAGACGGGACAAAACCCCUUUACGUGUAAAGGGUUGAUGGUACUGUCAGAAUAAGCAUCGGCUAACUUCGUGCCAGCAGCCGCGGUAAUACGAAGGAUGCAAGCGUUAUCCGGAAUUAUUGGGUUUAAAGGGUGCGUAGGCGGACUAAUAAGUCAGUGGUGAAAGCCUGCAGCUUAACUGCAGAAUUGCCAUUGAUACUGUUAGUCUUGAGUACAGUUGAGGUAGGCGGAAUGUGUCAUGUAGCGGUGAAAUGCUUAGAUAUGACACAGAACACC